AGAUUGAACGCUGGCGGCAUGCUUUACACAUGCAAGUCGAACGGUAACAGGCCGCAAGGUGCUGACGAGUGGCGAACGGGUGAGUAAUGUAUCGGAACGUGCCCAGUCGUGGGGGAUAACGCAGCGAAAGCUGCGACUAAUACCGCAUACGAUCUAUGGAUAGAAAGGCGGGGGACCGUAAGGCCUCGCGCGAAUUGGAGCGGCCGAUAUCAGAGUUAGGUAGUUGGGUAGGGGGUAAAGCUACGAACCAAGCCAAGA
rnacentral:rRNA from 1 species